AGAUCAAAAGAAAACAAGUUUUGACUCUAAAAACAAGACUUAAAAGCAAGGGGUUUGGUUUUGACGAAUUUGAACUUUUAAAACAUAAACUUUGUAAACAAACUUAAAGACUCACGAAAUUGAUGAAAUAGAAUGGUGAAAGGCUAGUUAGAGGGUUCCUUCUCCACACAUGAAACAUAUGCAUACGAUUCGAUUUCCAGUUACUCUUUCAACAAACCAUGAAUGACAAUGCCCCAAAUUAACUAGAUUGCACCAAUUAAUUCUCAGAUUUCCCUAAAUUCAUUGAAUUGAAUGGAAUACGCAUUACAACCAAAUUAUUCUUAUCAAGGAUCCUAACUAUGGAAUACGCAUGAUAGAGACACAUAUCAAAGAUCAUUAAGUUC
rnacentral:lncRNA from 1 species